rfam:Arabis alpina cultivar Pajares chromosome 6, whole genome shotgun sequence.
AUACCAUGGUGAGGACAAGCUCUUUUGUACCCUUUCAUACGCUCCCAUGCAUCAUAUAAACUCUCUUCUUCACCUUGCUCGAAUCUAGCGAUAUCAUUCCUUAUUUU